rnacentral:rRNA from 1 species
AGCGAACGCUGGCGGCAGGCUUAACACAUGCAAGUCGAGCGCCGUAGCAAUACGGAGCGGCAGACGGGAGAGUAACACGUGGGAACGUGCCCUUCAGUUCGGAACAACCCAGGGAAACGUGGGCUAAUACCGGAUACGUCCGAAAGGAGAAAGAUUUAUCGCUGAAGGAUCGGCCCGCGUCUGAUUAGCUAGUUGGUGGGGUAAUGGCCCACCAAGGCGACGAUCAGUAACUGGUAUGAGAGGAUGAUCAGCCUCACUGGGACUGAGACCCGGCCCAGACUCCUACGGGAGGCAGCAGUGGGGAAUAUUGGACAAUGGGGGCAACACUGAUCCAGCCAUGCCGCGUGGGUGAUGGAGGCCCUAGGGUUGUAAAGCCCUUUCGGCGGGGAAGAUAAUGACGGUACCCGCAGAAGAAGCCCCGGCUAACUUCGUGCCAGCCGCCGCCGUAA